GACGAACGCUGGCGGCGUGCUCAACACAUGCAAGUCGAACGGAAAGGCCCUGCUUUUGUGGGGUGCUCGAGUGGCGAACGGGUGAGUAACACGUGAGUAACCUGCCCUUGACUUUGGGAUAACUUCAGGAAACUGGGGCUAAUAACGGAUAGGAGCACCUGCUGCAUGGUGGGGGUUGGAAAGUUUCGGCGGUUGGGGAUGGACUCGCGGCUUAUCAGCUUGUUGGUGGGGUAGUGGCUUACCAAGGCUUUGACGGGUAGCCGGCCUGAGAGGGUGACCGGCCUCAUUGGGACUGGGAGACGGCCCAGACUCCUACGGGAGGCAGCAGUGGGGAAUAUUGCACAAUGGGCGGAAGCCUGAUGCAGCAACGCCGCGUGCGGGAUGACGGCCUUCGGGUUGUAAACCGCUUUCGCCUGUGACGAAGCGUGAGUGACGGUAGUGGGUAAAGAAGCACCGGCUAACUACGUG
rnacentral:rRNA from 1 species